rfam:Gossypium raimondii Chr08_contig_883, whole genome shotgun sequence.
GAGUUUGAUCCUGGCUCAGGAUGAACGUUGGCGACAUGCUUAACAUAUGCAAGUCAGACGGGUGAGUAACGCGUAAGAACCUCCCUUUGGGAGUGGAACAAUAGUUGGAAACAACUGCUAAUACCUCGUAGGCUGAGGAGCAAAAGGAGGGAUCCGUUUGAGGAGGGGCUCGCAUCUGAUAGCUAGUUGGUGAGGCAAUAGCUUACUAAGGCGAUGAUCAGUAGUUGGUUCGAGAGGAUGAUCAGCCAUACUGAGAUUGAGACACGACCUAGACUCUUACGGGAGUCAGCAGUGGGGAAUUUUUCGCAAUGGGCAAAAACCUAACGGAGCGAUGUAGCGUGGAGGUAGAAGGCCCACGGGUCGUGAACUUCUUUUCCCAGAAAAGAAGCAAUGACGAUAUCUGAGGAAUAAACAUUGGUUAACUUUGUGCCAGUAACUACAAUAAUAUAGAAGAUGCAAGCGUUAUCU